UACGGGGGGGGCAAGCGUUGUUCGGAAUUACUGGGCGUAAAGGGCUCGUAGGCGGCCAACUAAGUCAGACGUGAAAUCCCCAGGCUCAACCUGGGAACUGCGUCUGAUACUGGAUGGCUUGAAUCCGGGAGAGGGAUGCAGAAUUCCAGGUGUAGCGGUGAAAUGCGUAGAUACCAGGAGGAACACCGGUGGCGAAGGCGGCUUCCUGGCCGAGUACUGACGCUGAGGCACGAAAGCGUGGGGAGCGAACGGG
rnacentral:rRNA from 1 species